rnacentral:rRNA from 1 species
GACGAACGCUGGCGGCGUGCUUAACACAUGCAAGUCGAACGGAAAGGCCCUGCUUUUGUGGGGUGCUCGAGUGGCGAACGGGUGAGUAACACGUGAGUAACCUGCCCUUGACUUUGGGAUAACUUCAGGAAACUGGGGCUACUACCGGAUAGGAGCUCCUGCUGCAUGGUGGGGGUUGGAAAGUUUCGGCGGUUGGGGAUGGACUCGCGGCUUAUCAGCUUGUUGGUGGGGUAGUGGCUUACCAAGGCUUUGACGGGUAGCCGGCCUGGGAGGGUGACCGGCCACAUUGGGACUGAGAUACGGCCCAGACUCCUACGGGAGGCAGCAGUGGGGAAUAUUGCACAAUGGGCGGAAGCCUGAUGCAGCAACGCCGCGUGCGGGAUGACGGCCUUCGGGUUGGAAACCGCUUUCGCCUGUGACGAAGCGUGAGUGACGGUAAUGGGUAAAGAAGCACCGGCUAACUACGUG